rnacentral:misc_RNA from 1 species
AACGCACAUUGCGCCCGCCAGCAUUCUGGCGGGCAUGCCUGUUCGAGCGUCAUUUCGACCCUCAAGCCCCCCGCGGCUUGGUGUUGGGGCAUUUCUACAGCGUCUGUAGGCCCCGAAAUACAGUGGCGGGCUCGCCGAGCUUCCGAGCGUAGUAGUGUUCUCCUCGCUCAGGGGCGCCCGGCGCGCGCUGGCCGUUAAACAACCCAAACUUUUGUAGUGGUUUGACCUCGGAUCAGGUAGGAAUACCCGCUGAACUUAA